rnacentral:rRNA from 1 species
UGGCACCUUCGGUGUCCGAGUUGUAAUUUGAAGAAGGUAACUUUGGAGUUGGCUCUUGUCUAUGUUCCUUGGAACAGGACGUCACAGAGGGUGAGAAUCCCGUGCGAUGAGAUGUCCAACUCUAUGUAAAGUGCUUUCGAAGAGUCGAGUUGUUUGGGAAUGCAGCUCUAAGUGGGUGGUAAAUUCCAUCUAAAGCUAAAUAUUGGCGAGAGACCGAUAGCGAACAAGUACAGUGAUGGAAAGAUGAAAAGAACUUUGAAAAGAGAGUGAAAAAGUACGUGAAAUUGUUGAAAGGGAAGGGUUUGAGAUCAGACUUGGUAUUUUGUAUGUCUUGCUUUCGGGUGGGGCCUCUGCAGUUUACUGGGCCAGCAUCGGUUUGGACGGUAGGAUAAUGACAUUGGAAUGUGGCACUACUUCGGUGGUGUGUUAUAGACUUUGUUGAUACUGCCUGUCUAGACCGAGGACUGCGUCUUUGACUAGGAUGCUGGCAUAAUGAUCCUAAAC